AGAGUUUGAUCAUGGCUCAGGACGAACGCUGGCGGCGUGCCUAAUACAUGCAAGUCGAGCGAAUUGAUGGGAGCUUGCUCCCUGAUAUUAGCGGCGGACGGGUGAGUAACACGUGGGUAACCUGCCUGUAAGAUUGGGAUAACUCCGGGAAACCGGAGCUAAUACCGGAUAAUAUUUUGAACCGCAUGGUUCGAAAUUGAAAGAUGGUUUCGGCUAUCACUUACAGAUGGACCCGCGGCGCAUUAGCUAGUUGGUGAGGUAACGGCUCACCAAGGCAACGAUGCGUAGCCGACCUGAGAGGGUGAUCGGCCACACUGGGACUGAGACACGGCCCAGACUCCUACGGGAGGCAGCAGUAGGGAAUCUUCCGCAAUGGACGAAAGUCUGACGGAGCAACGCCGCGUGAACGAUGAAGGCCUUCGGGUCGUAAAGUUCUGUUGUUAGGGAAGAACAAGUACCAGAGUAACUGCUGGUACCUUGACGGUACCUAACCAGAAAGCCACGGCUAACUACGUGCCAGCAGCCGCGGUAAUACGUAGGUGGCAAGCGUUGUCCGGAAUUAUUGGGCGUAAAGCGCGCGCAGGUGGUUUCUUAAGUCUGAUGUGAAAGCCCACGGCUCAACCGUGGAGGGUCAUUGGAAACUGGGGAACUUGAGUGCAGAAGAGGAAAGUGGAAUUCCAAGUGUAGCGGUGAAAUGCGUAGAGAUUUGGAGGAACACCAGUGGCGAAGGCGACUUUCUGGUCUGUAACUGACACUG
rnacentral:rRNA from 1 species